rnacentral:rRNA from 1 species
GACGAACGCUGGCGGCGUGCUUAACACAUGCAAGUCGAACGGAAAGGCCCUGCUUUUGUGGGGUGCUCGAGUGGCGAACGGGUGAGUAACACGUGAGUAACCUGCCCUUGACUUUGGGGUAACUUCAGGAAACUGGGGCUAAUACCGGAUAGGAGCUCCUGCUGCAUGGUGGGGGUUGGAAAGUUUCGGCGGUUGGGGAUGGACUCGCGGCUUAUCAGCUUGUUGGUGGGGUAGUGGCUUACCAAGGCUUUGACGGGUAGCCGGCCUGAGAGGGUGACCGGCCACAUUGGGACUGAGAUACGGCCCAGACUCCUACGGGAGGCAGCAGUGGGGAAUAUUGCACAAUGGGCGGAAGCCUGAUGCAGCAACGCCGCGUGCGGGAUGACGGCCAUCGGGUUGUAAACCGCUUUCGCCUGUGACGAAGCGUGAGUGACGGUAAUGGGUAAAGAAGCACCGGCUAACUACGUG